UAUGAUGAAGUCGCUGCUGCCGCAGAGCCAGCUGCGGCGCUCGUCGGCGGCGGCCGCGCGGUCGUCGUCGGGCGGCGGCGCAGCGGGGGGAGACGGGGCUAUGGCCGACGGCGGCGGCGCGGGCCCGCGGGCGCCGGCCUCCUCCACCUUCUGGUUCCUGCUCCACGCGCUCUGCUGCCUCAUCUCGCUCUUCCUCGGCUUCCGCUUCUCGCGGCUCCUCUUCUUCCUGCUCUUCUCCACCACCGCGCUCUACCACUCCACCACCUCGUCCUCCUCGGCCGCGGUCCUGCGCGCCACCACGACUACCACCACAACGACGACAACCACGACGACGACCACCAACACCUUCACGCUCUCCUUCGCCGCCGCCAACACUCCCCCUUCCGGCCCCGCUAACCGCACCGCGCUGGAGGCGGCGGGCGACAACAAGGGGGCGGCGUCGUCGGGGAA
rnacentral:lncRNA from 1 species